GACGGAGGAUGCAAGUGUUAUCCGGAAUCACUAGGCGUAAAGCGUCUGUAGGUGGUUUAAAAAGUCUACUGUUAAAGCUUGAAGCUUAACUUCAAAAAUGCCGUAGAAACUUUUAAACUUGAGUAUGGUAGGGGUAGAGGGAAUUCCAGUGGAGCGGUGAAAUGCGUAGAUCUUGGAAAGACCACCAAUGGCGAAGGCACUCUACUGGGCCAUUACUGACACUAAGAGACGAAAGCUAGGGGAGCAAAUGGG
rnacentral:rRNA from 1 species